rnacentral:rRNA from 1 species
ACGGAAGGCAGCAGUGGGGAAUAUUGGACAAUGGGCGCAAGCCUGAUCCAGCGACGCCGCGUGAGUGAAGAAGUAUUUCGGUAUGUAAAGCUCUAUCAGCAGGGAAGAUAAUGACGGUACCUGACUAAGAAGCCCCGGCUAACUACGUGCCAGCAGCCGCGGUAAUAAGUAGGGGGCAAGCGUUAUCCGGAUUUACUGGGUGUAAAGGGAGCGUAGACGGUAUGGCAAGUCUGAUGUGAAAACCCAGGGCUCAACCCUGGGACUGCAUUGGAAACUGUCAAACUAGAGUGCAGGAGAGGUAAGUGGAAUUCCUAGUGUAGCGGUGAAAUGCGUAGAUAUUAGGAGGAACACCAGUGGCGAAGGCGGCUUACUGGACUGUAACUGACGUUGAGGCUCGAAAGCGUGGGGAGCAAACAGGAUUAGAUACCCUGGUA